rnacentral:rRNA from 1 species
GUGAGUCGACCCCUAAGGCGAGGCCGAAAGGCGUAGUCGAUGGGAAACAGGUUAAUAUUCCUGUACUUGGUGUUACUGCGAAGGGGGGACGGAGAAGGCUAUGUUAGCCGGGCGACGGUUGUCCCGGUUUAAGCAUGUAGGCUGAUUAUCCAGGCAAAUCCGGAUAAUCAAGGCUGAGGUGUGAUGACGAGGCACUACGGUGCUGAAGUAACAAAUGCCCUGCUUCCAGGAAAAGCCUCUAAGCAUCAGGUAACAUCAAAUCGUACCCCAAACCGACACAGGUGGUCAG